CACGUAGGCGGAUAUUUAAGUCAGGGGUGAAAUCCCAGAGCUCAACUCUGGAACUGCCUUUGAUACUGGGUAUCUUGAGUAUGGAAGAGGUAAGUGGAAUUCCGAGUGUAGAGGUGAAAUCCGUAGAUAUUCGGAGGAACACCAGUGGCGAAGGCGGCUUACUGGUCCAUUACUGACGCUGAGGUGCGAAAGCGUGGGGAGCAAACA
rnacentral:rRNA from 1 species